UCCCACAUGGUCCCCUUUGUAAAGCCAGUCUGUCAGAGCUUGCCUUAGCACAAGAAAAUAACGCCAGGCAGUGGGACAGCGAUGGACGGCUGCUGCUCUCUUGACAUUGGACGUCAGGGGGGGACUCCAUGACGGACACAGGAAUGGUACCAAGGAAAAAGAAGUCAAGCCUCAGAGUCUACUGCCCUCAUGCGACGGACAGUGAGUGAGAGCAGCGAGCCUGUGACCGUUGGUGAUGCCAGGCAAGAGGCCUCCAUCUGGGAGCCGAGCAAUCGCCAGUCUCGGUGAAGACACGGGUAGGUGUGCAUUCCCACAGGUGAGGUCUCGGGAGCCAUGGAGAAGUCGGAGUGGACGAAAAUCAUGCAGGGCAGUAGAAAGGCUGCUGAAAGUACCUGAAGAGACAAAGGAAAUGAGAAGGGGGAAGUCCAGACUAAGAGAGGAGUCUAGUCUGUAAAGAGAAACAACGGGAAGUCUAAGCUACAGAAACUCUUCAAGUUGCCGAAAGACAUUUAGGAUGGGAAAUAACUUCUUGAAUCCAGUCUCUUUAAGAUCUUAGGCUUAGUAUGCGUGUGUAUUUGUAUUUGCUUAGUAAUCUGCCUUCUUCUUUUUGCUAUCCCUUAUAAUCACUGAAAAUCUACCUUUUAUAGUGAAACUAUUUUUUGUUUAUUAUUAUUAUUAUUAAACUCAGUUUGUGCAACUGGUGCUCCGUGAGGAAAUGCUUUGUGUGUUACUCCAAGGGGCUGCCCGGUGUCACUGUUGCUCCAUGAGGGAAAUGAUUUGAGCACUACCUGAAUUGGCCACGCAGUGUCACCAUUGCUCCGUGAGGAAAUGCUUUCUGCAUUACUCCAAGUGGCCACACGGUGUCACUGUUGGUCCAGGAGGGAAAUUAUUUGUGCAUUACCCUGAGUGGCCACCGAGUGUCACUGUUGCUCCGUGAGGGAAAUGGUUUGUGCAGUACCCUGAGGGGCCACCCGGGGUCACUGUUGCUCCAUGAGGAAAUGCUUUGUGCAUGACCUGAAUUGGCCAC